rnacentral:lncRNA from 1 species
GACUCUGCGGGCUCUCCCGCUGAACAGGAGCGAGAGCGCGAAAGAGGGGGAAACGGGAAAAAAAUCCCCCCGCCCGUGCCUGGCGCGGCGGCGGCCGGGGCGGUGCGGAGAGGAGCGCGGAGGCGCCGCCGCCGCCGCCACGGGGCACCAUCCCCGGCUCGGCCUCACGGUGGCGGUGCGGGCGCGGCGGGGACACCGAGCAAGAGACCGGGUCUGCGCCCGCCGCGAUCCCUGCGCACCACGGCCCUGCCCGCCACGGGGCGAGCCCGAUAAGAGGGCUGUGGACGUUCGGGUCUAGUUGGGAGAGACAGGGGUCCCUGACUCUUGAGCGGUCAGUCAUUUCCUCCCCAGUCCUUGUGGGUGACGUGGCUACGGUUUGGAGCAGCAAGCCCCCUCCCCGAACUAAAGGGCCUCUCCAAAGGUUAAGCCAGGGCAGUCAUUGAGGUCAAAACCAAUAUGUAGUUUCUUGACUGCAGGUGCCUGCACGACUCCCAGAAAGUCGCGUCUCCCCUAACCCCCAUGCCCAGGACCUGAGGACAAAGGUCUAGCGAUUGUCCAUCCCCUCCCCCAGUGAGGACAGCCGGGAAAGACCUGCCUUUGUUGUGUACAGGUGGUAUCUCACUGUGUUAUCCAGACUGGACUCAAAUUUCUGGGCUCCAAUGGUCCUCUCACCUCAGCCUCCCAAGUAGUCAGGACUACAGAACUCCAUGGCAAUGUUUUGAGGAUUAAAGAGGAGAGUGAUGACUAUCCAAACGUCAGAGAACGCAACUAUGAGACUAGAGACACUGGAAAACUAAAAAAGUAACGGGCCUUUGCUGACUCAGGGAGAUGAUUUCCCAAGAGGGAAGAAAACUGGAACCUGAGAAAUAAGUGAUUUAGUAAUGUGGCUGCUAAAAUACGGAAAAACUAGAAUGAAUGGCUUACACAUUUUUGAAAUGAAGUUAGAAGAGGGUUAUACUGUGAAGAAGAAUGAAAAAGCCAAACAUUUCAUUCAGGUAAGCAUAUCACAUAGGAGAAACUCUAGGUGACUUUGGUUUGGCAGUGAGUUUUUAGAUACAACACCAAAGCACAAUCCAUAAAAGAAAAGAAAGAUAGAUAAGUUGGACUUCAUUAAAAUGAAAAACUUCUGCUCUGCAAAGACACUGUUAAGAGAAUGAAAACACAUGCCACAGACUAUGAGAAAAUAUGUGCAAAACACCUAUCUGAUAAAGGAAGUAUGUCUGAAAUACAAAGAACUCUUAAAACUCAGCAAUAAGAAAAUGAACAACCUGAUUAAAAUAUGGGCAAAAGAGCUGAAUGGAAACCUCCCCAAAGAAUAUAUGUAGAUGGCAAAUGAACAUAUGAAAAGAUUCUCAACACAAUAUGUCACUAGAAAAUUGCAAAUUAAAACAAGAUACCAGUAUACACUUAUUAGAUGAGCUAAAAUCCAAAAUACUAAGAACAGCAAAUGCUGAUGAGGUUGUGGAGCAACAGGAGCUCUCAUUCAUUGCUGGUGGGAAUGCAAAAUGAUGCAGCCACUUGGAAGACAGUCUGGCAGUUUCUUAAAGAUUAAACAAAGGCUUACCAGACACUCCAGCAAUUGCACUCUGUGUAUGUGUGUGUAUUUAUAUAUGUGUGUGUAUAUGUGUGUGUGUAUUUAUAUGUGUGUAUUUGUGUGUGUGUGUGUAUACAGGUAUCCACAGGGGAUUGGUUCCGGAAAGCUCCAUGGAUACCAAAAUCUGAGGAUGCUCAAGUUUCUUACAUAAAAUGGUGUGAGAUUUGCAUAUAAUCUAUGCACAUCCUCCUGUAUACUUUAUUUUUUAUUGUAUGUACUUAUUUUUUGAGACGGGUUCUCAGUUUGUCACCCAGGCUGGAAUGCAGUGGUGUGAUCACAGCUCACUGCAGCCUUAACCUCUGGGACUUAAGCAAUUCUCCCAGCUCAGCCUCCUGAGUAGCUGGGACCACAAGCAUGCACCACUACACGUGGCUAAUGUUAUUUUUUGUAGAAAUGGAAGUCUCACUGUGUUGCCCAGGCUAGGCUUCUGUAUACUUUAAGUCAUUUCUAGAUCACUUAUAAUACCUAAUACAAUAUAUAAAUGUUAUGUAAAUAGAUGUUAUACUGUAUUUUUAAAUUUUGUAUUUUUUUAAUUGUUCUAUUGUUAUUUUUUAUUGUUUAUUGUUUUGUUUAUUGUUGUUUAUUUUGUUUAUUGUGUUGUUUAUUGUUUUAUUGUUGUUUAUUGUUUAUUGUUUUUAUUGUUGUUUGGAAUAUUUUUGAUCCCAGUUGGUUGAAUCCAUGGAUGUGGAACCCAUAGAUAUGGCGGGCCAACUAUAUUUAUUAUUUAGAUCAAGAUAUAUUUCAAUAUAUAAAUUUAAAAAUCUUUUCUGAAAUAAAAGAAGAUUGACUCUUCUUUUCAAGUCAAAGAACAUACCAUGUGCCAGGCAAAAUUGAUUCAAACGUAUCUUCGUAAAACUAUUGGACAAGGGAUCUUCUCUUGCUACCUGAAUAAAUAGUGUGAAAAAUAUGGUUGUUGAAGAGACAAAGUAAUAGUAUCUGUCAAUUCAUUUUGAUAAACUUCAGUUUUGUAAGAGAUUAUAUAUAUUUUGUAUAUAUUUUGCAUUAUUUGUAUAUAUGCAUAUUUUAUAUUAUAUAUUUUAUAUAUGUGUGUGUGUUUAUAUGUAUGUGUGUAUAUAUAUAUUUGACUCUUUAUAUCCAUGGGUUCAUCUAAUUACCUCUGCUUCUAUUUAACAUUGUACUGGGCUGUUUUGUAGUGAUGUUCAGGGAAUACAAUCAGGACAGUGCAGUUCUGCUCUGUAGAGGAGUUUCAUGGGUGGAUGUUGAAGAGCCUCAAGUCACCUUCCCAACCCUCCUACCAAUAUAGCUUCUCCCUGACUGGUUGAGAUGAAGACUUAACCUGAAGAUUGGUUUGAUGUUACUGGUUUUCUGGUGCCCAGGUUAUAUGGUUUGGCUGUGUCCCCACCCAAAUCUCAUCUUGAAUUGUAGUUAUCAUAAUCCCCACAUGUCGUGGGAAGGACCUGGUGGGAAGUAAUUGAAUCAUGGAAGUGGUUUCUCCCAUGCUGUUCUUGUGAUAGUGAGUAAGUUCUCAUGGGAUCUUAUGGUUUUAUAAGGAGCUUCCCCCUUCACUCAGCUCUCAUUCUUCUCCUUCCUGCCACUGUGUGGAGAAGGACAUGUUUGCUUCCCCUUCUACCACGAUUGUCAGUUUCCUGAGGCCUCCCCAGCCGUGCUGAACUGUGAGUCAAUUAAGCCUUUCUCCUUUAUAAAUUACCCAGUCUCAGGUAUGUCUUUAUUAGCAGCAUAAGAACGGACUAAUGCACCAGGGCUCUCUUAGUGUUUGUUCUUCCCCAUCACACCCUUCACAUCUUUCUCUCUCUGUCCUGUCUUUCACACACACACAUACACACACACACACCCUUUAGCUCAUUACUGUAAUACUGUCGCUUCUGUCCUUCCCCAGUGUUCCUUAUUGGACAGAGGAGCUAGGGGAUAUGAGUUCACAGACCAAACUAAGAUAUCUGAGUAACACAACCACUUCAAAAUAAAAAAAUAAAAAAAAUCAUGGCCAGAUGAUGGAUAACAUCAGAAAGAGAUGCGUUAGAACAGAUGAACCAAGAGUUUAGAAUAAGCAUAAUAAAUAUAUUAAAAUAUGUAAGUGAGGAUAUUAGCAACAUGAUAAUAAUGAAAUACAUUGUAUAUGUACAAUUCCAGGUUUCAGGGUUUUACUUUUAGCACAUUAAAUAUGGCAUUCCAUUGUCUUUUGGCCUUCAUUAUUUCUGAUGAGAAGUUAGCUGAUUUUUCUACUCAUGGUUCCCUGUAUAUAGUAUAUGCUGUUUUUCUUGGUCAUUUUCCAGAUUUUCUGUUUUUUAGUAGGUUGA